AGAUUCUAUAUCUUUAGAAUCUUGGGUUGAGUUCCCCCCUCCCUUNNNNNNNNNNGAUUUAUCAGGGUGAUGGACUGCCUUUUGCAUAAUGAUCCUGCGAGUUGUGGUAUCUGGCAAGGUUAAGCAAACGCGAAGCCGUAGCGAAAGCGACUUUUAACGAGGGUUAAGUCAGAUGCUGCAGACCCGAAGCCAAGUGAUCUAUCCAUGACCAAGUUGAAGUAAGUGUAAUAGCUUAUGGAGGACUGAACUCGUACCCAUUGAAACGGGUUGGGAUGAGUUGUGGAUAGGGGUGAAAGGCCAAACAAACUUGGUGAUAGCUGGUUCUCUUCGAAAUAUAUUUAGGUAUAGCCUCAAGUGAUAGUAAUAGGGGGUAGAGCUCUGAUUGGGCUAGGGCUACUCACCGUGGUACCAACCCCUGUCAAACUGCGAAUACCUAUUACCGUAUCUUGGGAGUCAGGCGGUGGGUGAUAAAAUCAAUCGUCAAAAGGGGAACAACCCAGACUACCAACUAAGGUCCCAAAGUUCUAUUCUAAGUGGAAAAUGAUGUGAAGUUACUUAGACAACCAGGAGGUUGGCUUAGAAGCAGCCAUCCUUUAAAGAAAGCGUAACAGCUCACUGGUCUAGUGAUUUUGCGCAGAAAAUAUAACGGGGCUAAGAUAGACACCGAAGUUGUAGAUUAUGCUGAUGCAUAGUGGUAGAAGAGCGUUCGUAUUGCAUUGAAGGUAUAUCGGUAAGAAGUGCUGGAGCGAUGCGAAGUGAGCAUGCAGGAAUGAGUAGCGAUAAAAGUGGUGAGAAUCCACUUCGCCGAAAGUCUAAGGUUUCCUACGCGAUGCUCGUCAUCGUAGGGUUAGUCGGGUCCUAAGACAAGUCAGAAAUGGGUAGUCGAUGGAAAAUGGGUUAAUAUUCCCAUACCAACAUAAGUGUGCGAUGGGGGGACGCAUAAGGCUAAAUGGCGUUAGCUGAUGGAAUAGCUAAUUUAAAAGUGUAGAUUGAAGGAGUGGCAAAUCCGCCUUUGUAUUUGAAACUUGAAUAGCUUGUUGCGACCUUCGGGUCAAGAUAAGUGCCAUUGAUGCCAUCGUGCCAAGAAAAGCCUCUAAGUUUAACUUAUGUUGCCCGUACCGCAAACCGACACAGGUAGAUAGGAUGAGUAUUCUAAGGCGCGUGAAAGAACUCUCUUUAAGGAACUCUGCAAACUAGCACCGUAAGUUCGCGAUAAGGUGUGCCACAGAAAUGUGGUCUCAGCAAAGAGUCCCUCCCGACUGUUUACCAAAAACACAGCACUUUGCAAACUCGUAAGAGGAAGUAUAAGGUGUGACGCCUGCCCGGUGCUCGAAGGUUAAGAGGAUUAGUUAGACGCAAGUUAAAGCUUUGAAUUGAAGCCCGAGUAAACGGCGGCCGUAACUAUAACGGUCCNNNNNNNNNNGCAAAUUCAUUUUCGCUGUGUUUUACUCUAUAAUGCGCCAACGCUCCAAAAUCAACCAAAGCGUCAUAAGACUUCCACGUAUCGCUAUAAAUU
rnacentral:ncRNA from 1 species